rnacentral:lncRNA from 1 species
AACAGUUCUUAAAUGGUCAGUGAACUUUGACAGUUGUGCAGAUGCAUGGUAAAGUUAAAACAGGUCUGAACCUGCUGUAGCACUGUUCUCGUCAUUUCCCUCCUUUGAAUUUGACUGGCCUAAUUGACUUGAUCCCAACGCAGAUGUAGCAGAAGGGAUAGUAUGUGACUCCUGAAGCCAGGUUGCUGCUGCUGCUAAGUCGCUUCAGUUGUGUCUGACUCUGUGACCCCCAUAGACAGCAACCCACCAGGCUCCCCCGUCCCUGGGAUUCUCCAGGCAAGAACAGUGGAGUGGGUAGCCAUUUCCUUCUCCAAUGCAUGAAAGUGAAAAGUGAAAAGUGAAAAUGAAGUCGCUCAGUGAUGACCGACUCUUAGUGACCCCAUGGACUGCAGCCUACCAAGCUCCUCCAUUUAUGGGAUUUUCCAGGGAAGAGUACUGGAGUGGGGUGCCAUUGCCUUCUCUGAAGCCAGGUUCAGUUCAGUUCAGUUCAGUUCAGUCGCUCAGUCAUGUCCGACUCUUUGCGACUCCAUGAAUUGCAGUACACCAGGCCUCCCUGUCCAUCACCAACUCCCGGAUUUCACCCAAACCCACAUCCAUCGAAUCGGUGAUGCCAUCCAGCCAUCUUAUCCUUGGUCGGCCCCUUUUCCUCCUGCCCCCAAUCCCUCCCAGCAUCAGGGCCAAAGUAUUGGAGUUUCAGCUUUAGCAUCAUUCCUUCCAAAGAAAUCCCAGGGCUGAUCUCCUUCAGAAUGGACUGGUUGGAUCUCCUUGCAGUCCAAGGGACUCUCAAGAGUCUUCUCCAAUACCACAGUUCAAAAGCAUCAAUUCUAUGCCAUGAUCUUCGUUUUCUCAAUGUUGAGCUUUAAGCCAACAUUUUCACUCUCCUCUUUCACUUUCAUCAAGGGGCUCUUUAGUUCCUCUUCACUUUCUGCCAUGAGGGUGGUGUCAUCUGCAUAUCUGAGGUGAUUGAUAUUUCUCCUGGCAAUCUUGAUUCCAGCUUGUGCUUCCUCCAGCCCAGCAUUUCUCAUGAUGUACUCUGCAUAUAAGUAAAAUAAGCAGGGUGACAAUAUACAGCCUUGAUGUACUCCUUUUCUUAUUAGGAACCAGUCUGUUGUUCCAUGUCCAGUUCUAGCUGUUGCUUUCUGACCUGCAUAUGGGUUUCUCAAGAGGCAGGUCAGGUGGUCUCUUUCAGAAUUUUCCACAGUUUCUUGUAAUCCACCCAGUCAAAGGCUUUGGCAUAGUCAAUAAAGCAGAAAUAGAGGUUUUUCUGAAACUCUCUUGCUGUUUUGAUGGCCAUUGUAUCUACUACUGUGGGCAAGAAUCCCUUCAGAAGAAAGGGAGUAGGCAUCAUAGCCAGCAAGACAGUCCAAAUUGCAGUUCUUGGUUGCAUCUCAAAAAUGACAGAAUGAUCUUUGUUUGUUUCCAAGGCAACCAUUCAAUAUCACAGUAACCCAAGUUUAUGUCCUAACCAGUAAUGCUGAAGAAGCUGAAGUUGAACAGUUCUAUGAAGACCUACAAGACCUUCAGAACUAACACCCAAAAAAGAUGUCCUUUUCAUGAUGGGGGAGUGGAAUGCAAAAGUAGGAAGUCAAGAGAUACCUGGAAUAACAGGUGAAUUUGGCCAUGGAGUAAAAAAAUGAAGCAGGGCAAAGACUAACAAAAUUUUGCCAAGAGAACACAUUAAUCAUAGCAAACACCCUCUUCCAACAAUACAAGAGAAGACUUUACUCAUGGACAUCACCAGAUGGUCAAUAGCAAAAUCAGAUUGAUUAUAUUCUUUGCAGCCAAAAAGGGAGAAGCUCUAUACAGUCAGCAAAAGCAAGACUGGGAGCUGACUGUGGCUCAGAUCAUGAGCUCCUUAUUGAAAAAUUCAGACUUAAAUUGAAGAAAGUAGGGCAAAUCACUAGGCCAUUCAGGUAUGACCUAAAUCAAAUCCCUUACAAUUAUACAGUGGAAGUUACACAUAUAUUCAAGGGAUUAGAUCUGAUAGAUAGAGUGCCUGAAGAACUAUGAAUGGAGGUUUGCUACAUUGCACGG